rnacentral:rRNA from 1 species
GACGAACGCUGGCGGCGUGCUUAACACAUGCAAGUCGAGCGGUAAGGCCCUUUCGGGGGUACGACGAGCGGCGAACGGGUGAGUAACACGUGGGUGACCUGCCCUCAGCUCUGGGAGUAAAGCCUGGGAAACUAGGGUCGUAAUACCGGAUAUGACUCCAUGACGCAUGUUGUGGGGUGGAAAGCCUUGUGCGGCUGAGGAUGGGCCCGCGGCCUAUCAGCUUGUU